rnacentral:tRNA from 1 species
GCAUUAGUAGCUCAGUGUCAGAGCACCAGUCUUGUAAACUGACUGUCGGAGGUUAAAAUCCCCCCUACUGCU